rnacentral:rRNA from 1 species
UACGUAGGGGGCUAGCGUUGUCCGGAAUCAUUGGGCGUAAAGAGCGUGUAGGCGGCUCGGUAAGUCCGCUCUGAAAGCCCGGGGCUCAACCCCGGGAGGCGGGCGGAUACUGUCGAGCUAGAGUCCGGAAGAGGCGAGUGGAAUUCCUGGUGUAGCGGUGAAAUGCGCAGAUAUCAGGAGGAACACCAAUAGCGAAGGCAGCUCGCUGGGACGGUACUGACGCUGAGACGCGAAAGCGUGGGGAGCGAACAGG